GGCCGGUUAGCUCAGUUGGUUAGCGCAUGGUGCUAAUAAUGCCAAGGUUGUGGGUUCGAGCCCCAUACAGGCCA